rnacentral:rRNA from 1 species
GUAAAGGCUUACCAAGGCGAUGAUCAGUASMUGGUSUGAGAGGAWGAUCAGCCACACUGGGASUGAGACACGGCCCAGRCUCCUUCGGGAGGCAGCAGUGAGGAAUUUUCCGCAAUGGGCGAAAGCCUGMCGGAGCAAUKCCGCGUGAAGGAUGAAGGCMUAUGGGUUGUAAACUUCUUUUCUCAGAGAAGAAWUUUUGACGGUAUCUGAGGAAUAAGCAUCGGCUAACUCUGUGCCAGCAGCCGCGGUAAGACAGAGGAUGCAAGCGUUAUCCGGAAUGAUUGGGCGUAAAGCGUCYGUAGGUGGCUUAAAAAGUCUUCUGUCAAAGAUCAGGGCUUAACCCUGGGCCGGCAGGAGAAACUCUUAGGCUAGAGUUUGGUAGGGGCAGAGGGAAUUCCCGGUGGAGCGGUGAAAUGCGUAGAGAUCGGGAGGAACACCAAAGGCGAAAGCRCUCUKCUGGGCCMCAWCUGACACUGAGAGACGAAAGCGAGGGGAGCAAAAGGGAUUAGAUACCCCUGUAGUCCUCSCCGUAAACGAUGGAUACUARAUGUUGSAUASGUUAAAGCAUUCAGURUCGUAGCU